rnacentral:rRNA from 1 species
UGGGGAAUUUUGGACAAUGGGGGAAACCCUGAUCCAGCCAUCCCGCGUGUGCGAUGAAGGCCUUCGGGUUGUAAAGCACUUUUGGCAGGAAAGAAACGUCGCGGGUUAAUACCCCGCGAAACUGACGGUACCUGCAGAAUAAGCACCGGCUAACUACGUGCCAGCAGCCGCGGUAAUACGUAGGGUGCAAGCGUUAAUCGGAAUUACUGGGCGUAAAGCGUGCGCAGGCGGUUCGGAAAGAAAGAUGUGAAAUCCCAGAGCUUAACUUUGGAACUGCAUUUUUAACUACCGGGCUAGAGUGUGUCAGAGGGAGGUGGAAGUUCCGCGUGUAGCAGUGAAAUGCGUAGAUAUGCGGAGGAACACCGGAUGGCGAAGGCAGGCCUCCUGGGAUAACACUGACGCUCAUGCACGAAAGCGUGGGGAGCAAACAGGAUUAGAUACCCUGGUAGUCCACGCCCUAAACGAUGUCAACUAGCUGUUGGGGCCUUUGCGAGCCUUGGUAGCGCAGCUAACGCG